rnacentral:misc_RNA from 1 species
CGAAAUGCGAUAAGUAAUGUGAAUUGCAGAAUUCAGUGAAUCAUCGAAUCUUUGAACGCACCUUGCGCUCCUUGGUAUUCCUUGGAGCAUGCCUGUUUGAGUAUCAUGAAAUCUUCAAAGUAAUCUUUUGUUAACUCAAUUGGUUUCUACUUUGGUAUUGGAGGUCUUUGCAGCUUCACACCUGCUCCUCUUUGUUCAUUAGCUGGAUCUCAGUGUUAUGCUUGGUUCCACUCGGCGUGAUAAGUUAUCUAUCGCUGAGGACACUGUAAAAGGUGGCCAAGGUAAAUGCAGAUGAACCGCUUCUAAUAGUCCAUUGACUUGGACAAUACUUUUAUGAUCUGAUCUCAAAUCAGGUAGGACUACCCGCUGAACUUAAGC